rnacentral:rRNA from 1 species
UUUGAUCAUGGCUCANAAUGAACGCUGGCGGCGUGCUUAACACAUGCAAGUCGAACGAGAAAGGGAUUGCUUGCAAUCCUGAGUAGAGUGGCGCACGGGUGAGUAACACGUAGAUAAUCUACCUUCAAGCCCGGGAUAACCCUUCGAAAGGAUGGCUAAUACCGGAUGCAGUUUCAGUACACAAGUGCUGAGAUGAAAGAUUGCCUCUUCUUGAAAGCAAUUGUUUGGAGAUGAGUUUGCGUACCAUUAGCUUGUUGGUGGGGUAAAAGCCUACCAAGGCUGCGAUGGUUAGCUGGUCUGAGAGGAUGAUCAGUCACACUGGAACUGGAACACGGUCCAGACUCCUACGGGAGGCAGCAGUGGGGAAUAUUGCGCAAUGGGCGAAAGCCUGACGCAGCAACGCCGUGUGGGGGAUGAAGGCUUUCGGGUCGUAAACCCCUGUCAGAAGGGAAGAAAUGGUAAGGGUCCAAUAGGCCUUUAUUUUGACGGUACCUUCAGAGGAAGCACCGGCUAACUCCGUGCCNGCCGCCGCGGUAAUACA